rnacentral:lncRNA from 1 species
AACUAUGGAGUCCAUUUGGUGCUGCCAAGAGCAUGGUCAGCCUACCAGGAGCCACAUCCUUAAAAAAAACUGGGUUAUCUUCCCCUCCAUGCCAUCAGCUCCUCAGUUAGGGGUGGAGACUAGUGACCUUCUCUCUGCCUCCUGCUGGAAAGUUAACAGUCUUCAUUUUGUGCAGGUCCUCUGCAUAGCUUCUCUGAGCUCCUAGGUACAGAAAGCCCUCUCGUGUGCCAUCCUUCCUGAGUUCUGGGAGCUGGUGUGGUGUGGAGGUCCCAUUGGUGGGUGGGCAUUCACAGUCACGUAUUCUCUGCUCUUUGGCCAGUGGUCAGAAAACUCUUAAUAAUAAAAGCUGAAAAUGAUGUUAAAAGCAAAACCUGUUCCAGCUCAUCCAGUAAAGCUGCAUUCAAUUCCCUUUUCAAAAGCAGCAUAUGCAUAUGCUUGUAAAUCUGCCUUAGCAGAGUAUAACUUAAUUUCAUCUGAGGAAGUUAUUUCUAGGGAUUAUAGCUCUUUGUGUAAAGCUAACUCUUUGUUUCCUUCUUGGGAUUUAUAUUAUUGUUUUUAGAUUUUGAGUCACUUUUUCCAGAGGUGGCUAAUAGCAAACUGAUGAUUCUGACUGUAACCCAGAAAACUGAACAUGACAUGACUGUCUGGAGUGAAGAGGUAGAAGUUGAGAGAGAGGCGCUCUUGGAGAAGUUCAUUAAUGGUGCUAAGGAAAUUUGCUAUGCUCUUCGGGCUGAAGGAUACUGGGCUGAC